AAGAGUGUCGUAUAAUCGGUUAGUAUAAUGAUCUCCAAAAUCAUUGAUAGAUGUUCGAAGCAUCUCACUCUUG
rnacentral:tRNA from 1 species